rnacentral:rRNA from 1 species
GCGGGAAAAGCUCAAAUUUAAAAUCUGGUGGUCUUUGGCCAUCCGAGUUGUAAUUUAGAGAAGCGUCUUCCGCGCUGGACCGUGCACAAGUCUCCUGGAAUGGAGCGUCAUAGAGGGUGAGAAUCCCGUCUUUGGCACGGACACACCAGGGCUUUUGUGAUGCGCUCUCAAAGAGUCGAGUUGUUUGGGAAUGCAGCUCAAAAUGGGUGGUGAACUCCAUCUAAAGCUAAAUAUUGGCGAGAGACCGAUAGCGAACAAGUACCGUGAGGGAAAGAUGAAAAGCACUUUGGAAAGAGAGUGAAACAGUACGUGAAAUUGUUGAAAGGGAAACGCUUGAAGUCAGUCGCGUCGACCGAGACUCAGCCUUGCCUCGGCUUGGUGUACUUCUCGGCCUGACGGGUCAGCAUCAAUUUUGCCCCUUGGAUAAUGGCGAGGGAAAUGUGACACCUUUACGGUGUGUUAUAGUCCCUUGUCGCAUGCAAGGGUUGGGAUUGAGGAACUCAGCACGCGCCUUUGGGUGUCGGGGCUUUGCCCACGAUACGUGCUUAGGAUGUUGGCGUAAUGGCUUUAAACGACCCGUCUUGAAACACGGACCAAGGAGUCUAACAUGCCUGCGAGUGUUCGGGUGGAAAACCCGUGCGCGCAAUGAAAGUGAAAGUUGGGACCUCUGUCGUGGAGGGCACCGACGCCCGGACCAGACCUUCUGUGACGGCUCUGCGGUGAAGCAUGUAUGUUAGGACCCGAAAGAUGGUGAACUAUGCCUGAAUAGGGUGAAGCCAGAGGAAACUCUGGUGGAGGCUCGUAGCGAUUCUGACGUGCAAAUCGAUCGUCAAAUUUGGGUAUAGGGGCGAAAGACUAAUCGAACAUCUAGUAGCUG